rnacentral:rRNA from 1 species
CAAUAGCGUAUAUUAAAGUUGUUGCGGUUAAAAAGCUCGUAGUUGGAUUUCUGCCGAGGACGACCGGUCCGCCCUCUGGGUGAGUAUCUGGCUUGGCCUGGGCAUCUUCUUGGAGAACGUAGCUGCACUUGACUGUGUGGUGCGGUAUCCAGGACUUUUACUUUGAGGAAAUUAGAGUGUUUCAAGCAGGCAUGCGCCUUGAAUACAUUAGCAUGGAAUAAUAAGAUAGGACCUCGGUUCUAUUUUGUUGGUUUCUAGAGCUGAGGUAAUGAUUAAUAGGGAUAGUUGGGGGCAUUCGUAUUUAACUGUCAGAGGUGAAAUUCUUGGAUCGCCGUCAGACGAACUACUGCGAAAGCAUUUGCCAAGAAUGUUUUCAUUAAUCAAGAACGAAAGUCAGAGGUUCGAAGACGAUCAGAU